UNGAGGACCUGACUUCAGUUGCCAUCACC
rnacentral:piRNA from 1 species